CUUCUUUCCCAGGAUGCACCUGGCCGGAAGGGGGUCGAACGGACGCAGGGGACAGCUGUUUCCUGUGCAUACUUCCUGGCAGCAGAAGAGCGUCGGUAGUUACAGAAUGCUGAAGCCAUCAUACAAAGCAUCGGGGAGUGCUGGCGUUGCGGUUGGUGGUGACGUCGGGUCCGGGGCCCGCCACCGAUGGAACCGGGGGUGCCUAAGCCAGCUCUUCAGGCUGCCCUAGCUGGCUCGAGAGGUUCUUGCCCCGGGUUGGCUCAGAAGGUGCCCAUCCCACGUCGGGCCUCAGCCGGAUCAUCAGGCUCCCAGUCCAGCGCCCGUGCCUUGGCCGGCCCGUCAGGCUCACCCGGGGGAGUACUGUCACGCCUGCUCCUGCUCCCCCUCCCUGGCGCUCGAAGGUGCCAGGCUCCCCAGCAUUACGCACUCCUGCCACCAUCAUCACCCACACCUGCCUUCCCCCCAUCACGCGCAUCAGCGAUUAUUGGACUCACCUGGACUCAAUCACCUCUAUCAUUACCUCCCCUAAUACUGUCUGGUUACCCGCUCUGUUCCCUACUUCAGCAUUAAUUGUUGUUGUUUACCCAUGUGCUGACGCUGUUCCUGUUUGUUACCUGUCUGUUCUUGAAUAAAUGUACCUGCUUCUCA